AUUGAACGCUGGCGGCAGGCCUAACACAUGCAAGUCGAGCGAGCGGCGGACGGGUGAGUAAUGUAUGGGGAUCUGCCUGAUAGCGGGGGAUAACUACUGGAAACGGUAGCUAAUACCGCAUACCAUCAGAUGAACCCAUCUGGGAUUAGCUAGUAGGUGGGGUAAAGGCUCACCUAGGCGACGAUCCCUAGCUGGUCUGAGAGGAUGAUCAGCCACACUGGUACUGCGACACGGCCCAGACUCCUACGGGAGGCAGCAGUGGGGAAUAUUGCACAAUGGGCGCAAGCCUGAUGCAGCCAUGCCGCGUGUAUGAAGAAGGCCUUAGGGUUGUAAAGUACUUUCAGCCGGGAGGCGUUACCUGCAGAAGAAGCACCGGCUAACUCCGUGCCAGCAGCCGCGGUAAUAC
rnacentral:rRNA from 1 species